rnacentral:rRNA from 1 species
UACGUAGGGUGCGAGCGUUGUCCGGAAUUAUUGGGCGUAAAGAGCUCGUAGGCGGUUUGUCGCGUCUGCUGUGAAAGACCGGGGCUUAACUUCGGUUUUGCAGUGGAUACGGGCAUGCUUGAGGUAGGUAGGGGAGACUGGAAUUCCUGGUGUAGCGGUGAAAUGCGCAGAUAUCAGGAGGAACACCGAUGGCGAAGGCAGGUCUCUGGGCCACUACUGACGCUGAGAAGCGAAAGCAUGGGGAGCGAACAGGAUUAGAU